CUCCCUCCCUUUUCUCUCUCUUUCUCUCUCUCUCUCAGCAAACACACCAAUUCUUCCCAAAUUAGCACCUCCAGUUACCAUACACAUGUUACCAGUGUCAAACUUGAUGAAAUCGGUAGUCUUGCCAGUCUCCAAAUCUAUCUGAAUGGUAUCAUUCACUUUGAUUAGGGGAUCAGGGUAGCAAAUGGUUCGAGCAUCAUGAGUCACUAGAAGAGGGAUUCCUUUUGUGCCCACAAAGAUCUUUCUCACUUUGCACAAUGUGUACUUGGCCUCCUCAGGUGUAAUAUGAUGAACAGCAAAAUGACCCUUGGUGUCACAGAUCAGACAGAAAUUCUUUCCAGUCUUAUCAAUGCUGAUGACAUCUAUAAAACCGGUGUGGUAUGUUAUAUCAGUUUGGACUUUGCCAUCAAUCUUAAUGAAGUGCUGAAUGCAAAUCUGUCUUACUUCAUCUCCUGUCAGGGCAUACUUAACUCUGUUCCUUAGAAAAAUGAUGAGAGGAAGAUGUUCUCUCAGCUUGUGGGGACCAGUGGAUGGAUGAGAAGCAAACACACCAGUCAGUUUAAUCCAGCAUCCAAUACUUUGGAGCUGCUACCCACUGCUUCAGAUGCUUCUUGGGACCAUGAGCCAUGGCUGCUCUAGGCACAGAAAGAGGCCUCCUUCUUCCUGUGUGCUCCAUGCUGUUCUUGAUCUGCUUUGUCUCUUCUCUGUUUUUUGUGUGUGCUACUCUGUCUUUGGAUCUCUGUUUUUCUGACUAGCUUUACUAGACUAUCUAGCUGGACUAGUCUUCCCAGAUCCUUUCAAGAGGAGGCAGCAGGUCUCCUGCUGAGAAAGGAGGGAAGUAAGAUCUAGGCAGAGACUCCUGGUGGUUAGUCAAGUGGAUACACAACAGAUCCUGCCCACAGGUCUCUAUUUUGGGGUCACUUUUGGACAUGAAUGAGGUUCUGUAGACAGCAACCCUGCUCUCCUGUUGUGCACUAGGCCCAGAGUCAGUCCCAGAGGGGUAUGCAUCUGGUGCCUUCAGUGUGCCAGGCUUGGGUCAAAUACAGUGCACAAAGCACUCUAAGGGGCCCACAGCUUAGUGGACAGAGUAGGCAGAGGAAAAAAUCAGUGGGCAGUAGAGUAGAGCUGAUUUAUUCUGGCAGUUCAGGGAGUCACCAUAGAAGAGAUGAUGCUAAAAGUCCUUUUCAGAGGUCUCAAUUUUCCCAGUGAGAGGAAUUUUUCAUCUAGGAUCCACAGAGAAGGUUGCAUCAAGGAGCAGUACAACAUGAUGAAGGAAGAGAUUGGGGUCCCAAAGAUCCAGUUGACUUUAGAAUUUAACCUGCAUAAUAUGGAGCCUCUGAUGAUUUCCUGAGCAAAGAACAGGUACCAUUUAAG
rnacentral:lncRNA from 1 species